GGUGGUGUAGCUCAGCAAUAGAGUUCAUGUUUAGCAUGUGCAGAAGGCCUGGGUUCAAUUCCCAGCACAUCCC
rnacentral:tRNA from 1 species